rfam:Schistosoma mansoni strain Puerto Rico chromosome 5, complete genome
ACCCAACUGAUGAGUCCCAAAUAGGACGAAACUCACGUCGUGAAU